rnacentral:misc_RNA from 1 species
GAUGAAGAACGUAGUGAAAUGCGAUAAGUAAUGUGAAUUGCAGAAUUCAGUGAAUCAUCGAAUCUUUGAACGCACAUUGCGCCCGCCAGUAUUCUGGCGGGCAUGCCUGUUCGAGCGUCAUUUCAACCCUCAAGACCCCUUCGGGGGACUUGGUGUUGGGGACCGGCACAGGGGCCUGCCUGCUUGUCUUGCAGCGCCCUCGUCGCCCCCGAAAUGAAUUGGCGGCCUCGUCGCGGCCUCCCCUGCGUAGUAGCACAACCUCGCAACGGGAACGUGACGGCGGCCACUGCCGUAAAACAACCCCAAUUUUAUUAGAGUUGACCUCGAAUCAGGUAGGAAUACCCGCUGAACUUAAGCAUAUCAAUAAGCGGAGGA